UGACUGCUUAUAUGUUUGACAUUGCAAUAGGAGUCUCGUGUUUCGCAAGACCUUGCGAAACUACCAUUUCCGCAAUUCCAUGACAUUACAAAAAGGUAAAGGUAAAGGUUUUCCCCUGACGUUCAGUCCAGUCGUGACCGACUCUGGGGGUUGGUGCUCAUAUCCAUUUCUAGGCCGAAGAGCCGGCGUUGUCCAUAGACACCUCCAAGGUCAUGUGGCUGGCAUCACUCUUACCUUCCCGCCGGAGCGGGCUCCGUGCAAUUGCUUGUGCCACCGGGAACAGAGCCAUGGAUUCAGUGCUGCAAUUGAUCCUGACCAAAGCUCCAUCGAUUCUGCAGCAGCAAGAAUGAUUUUUGCUAAGCAAUGGAAAAGUGAAGAUGUUCCGAAGAAAGACAGUUGGCUGAAUAAAAUAAGGGAAAUACGUGACAUGGACAAACUUACAUUUCUUUUGAAAGAAACAAGAGGAAAAAGUGUUAGAGAAACAAACUGGAAAAAAGUAGAUGAUUACCUUAAAAGUUAAAAAAAAUGCAUUAAUUGCUGAACUUUGAGAAAAAUGAGUGAUAAGAUAUAGCUACAUACAGUGUAUAAAUGUAUAAAUUUAAGUAGGGAAGAGAACUUCCCAUAAGAAGGAGUUUCCUGUUAUUGGUUGUAUUGUUUCUUCAUUAUGUAAAAGUUUUUCUUUUCUUCCCCAACCCCCUCCCUUUUUCCUUUACCUUUUGUAAGUUUUUUUUUCUGGUUUAUUAUUAGUAUUUCCCCCCCCCCCCCCUUCCCCUUCUACCCUCACUUUUCCCCGUUUUUAUCUGCAAUCACUGUAUGUGAAAAAGAUUUAAUAAACAUUAUUUAAAAAAAAUAUUUCAAAUGACUUUGUGCAUAAAACUUUGUGCACAUGGGACUGCGCCCAGGCAUUCAGCGAAUAAGCUCACUGGCUGAUGUAAUUGGGUCGCAAAUCUGUAAUUGUAGCAGUAGUGAAUGACUGAGGAUGGUGCAAUAUCGCUGCCUUGCAGUGUUUUAAUUUUUAUAUACUUUUUAUCACGUUUUUAUCAUGUUUUUAUCAUGUUUUAAUUGUUUUGUUUUAUAGUAUAUUUGUUGCUGGCCCUCGUGGCAGAAUGUAAGCCGCUCUGAGUCCCCUCGGGGAGAAGGGCGGGGUAUAAAUGCAUGUAAUAAAUAAUAAUAAAUAAAUGGGACUGUC